UACGUAGGGUGCAAGCGUUGUCCGGAAUUAUUGGGCGUAAAGAGCUCGUAGGCGGUCUGUUGGGUCGGAUGUGAAAACCCAGGGCUCAACCCUGGGCCUGCAUUCGAUACGGGCAGACUAGAGUUCGGUAGGGGAGACUGGAAUUCCUGGUGUAGCGGUGAAAUGCGCAGAUAUCAGGAGGAACACCGGUGGCGAAGGCGGGUCUCUGGGCCGAAACUGACGCUGAGGAGCGAAAGCGUGGGGAGCAAACAGG
rnacentral:rRNA from 1 species